rnacentral:rRNA from 1 species
AGCUCCAAUAGCGUAUACUAUUUUUGCUGCAGUUAAAAAGCUCGUAGUCGGAUUUCAGAUUUGUCUUUUGCAUUCCUUCAUGGUUUCUUUUGACAUUUCUUCUUUAACAGACGACUUCCUAGCAUUAAUUUGUUGGGUUGCUCAACUGUUUCUUUUACUUUGAGAAAAUUAGAGUGUUCAAAGCAGGUUUAUUGCCUGAAUAUUACUCUUGGAAUAAUAAUAUAGGACUCUGGUUCUAGUUUGUUGGUGAUCUAGUGCCGGAGUAAUGAUUAAUAGCGACGGUUGGGGUCAUUCGUACUGCAAAGCGAGAGGUGGAAUUCUUGGACCUUUGUAUGACGAACAACUGCGAAAGCAUUUGACUAGGACGUUCGCG